GCGAACGCUGGCGGCGUACUUAACACAUGCAAGUCGAACGAGGAGCUUCGGUGUAGCAAUACAUCGGAGCUUCUAGUGGCGUACGGGUGAGUAACACGUGGGCAACCUGCCCUUGAGUCCGGGAUACCCUCUCGAAAGGGAGGCUAAUACUGGAUACGUUCUUCGGAUCGCGAGAUCUGGAGAGGAAAGGUGGCGAAAGCUGCCGCUCUUGGAGGGGCUCGCGGCCAUCAGCUAGUUGGUGAGGUAACGGCUCACCAAGGCUAUGACGGGUAGCUGGUCUGAGAGGACGACCAGCCACACGGGAACUGAGACACGGUCCCGACUCCUACGGGAGGCAGCAGUGGGGAAUUUUCCGCAAUGGGCGAAAGCCUGACGGAGUGACGCCGCGUGGGGGA
rnacentral:rRNA from 1 species